rnacentral:rRNA from 1 species
CCCUUAGAUGUUCUGGGCCGCACGCGCGCUACACUGACGAAUGCAACGAGCUUAUAACCUUGGCCGAAAGGUCUGGGUAAUCUCCAAAUUUCGUCGUGAUGGGGAUAGAUUAUUGCAAUUAUUAAUCUUCAACGAGGAAUGCCUAGUAAGCGCAAGUCGUCAGCUUGCGUUGAUUACGUCCCUGCCCUUUGUACACACCGCCCGUCGCUCCUACCGAUUGAAUGGUCCGGUGAAGCGUUCGGACCGUGGCCUUUGGACGGUUCGCCGUCUGUUGGCUGCGGGAAGUUCGUUAAACCUUAUCAUUUAGAGGAAGGAGAAGUCGUANCA